GAUGAAGAACGCAGCGAAAUGCGAUAAGUAGUGUGAAUUGCAGAAUUCAGUGAAUCAUCGAAUCUUUGAACGCACAUUGCGCCCCUUGGUAUUCCAUGGGGCAUGCCUGUUCGAGCGUCAUUUGUACCUUCAAGCUCUGCUUGGUGUUGGGUGCUUGUCUCGCCUCUGCGUGUAGACUCGCCUCAAAACAAUUGGCAGCCGGCGUAUUGAUUUCGGAGCGCAGUACAUCUCGCGCUUUGCACUCAUAACGACGACGUCCAAAAGUACAUUUUUACACUCUUGACCUCGGAUCAGGUAGGGAUACCCGCUGAACUUAAGCAUAUCAAUAAGCGGAGGA
rnacentral:misc_RNA from 1 species